rnacentral:rRNA from 1 species
CUACGGGGUGCUCCAGUGAGGAAUAUUGCACAAUGGGGGGAACCCUGAUGCAGCAACGCCGCGUGGAGGAUGACGCAUUUCGGUGUGUAAACUCCUUUUAUAUGUCAAGAAAAUGACGGUAGCAUAUGAAUAAGCACCGGCUAACUCCGUGCCAGCAGCCGCGGUAAUACGGAGGGUGCAAGCGUUACUCGGAAUCACUGGGCGUAAAGGACGCGUAGGCGGGUUGGAAAGUCGGGUGUGAAAUCCUACAGCUUAACUGUAGAACUGCACUUGAAACUUCUAAUCUAGAGUAUGGGAGGGGGAGAUGGAAUUAGUGGUGUAGGGGUAAAAUCCGUAGAUAUCACUAGGAAUACCUAAAGCGAAGGCGAUCUCCUGGAACAUUACUGACGCUAAGGCGUGAAAGCGUGGGGAGCAAACAGGAUUAGAUACCCUAGUAGUC